rnacentral:tRNA from 2 species
GGCGAGAUGGCCGAGCGGUCUAAGGCGCUGUGUUAAGGUGUUCACACGAGCAUCCGCAGUCUUCGGACGUGGGUUCGAAUCCCACUCUCGUCA